rnacentral:rRNA from 1 species
AUUGAACGCUAGCGGGAUGCUUUACACAUGCAAGUCGAACGGCAACGCGGACUUCGUUCUGGCGGCGAGUGGCGAACGGGUGAGUAAUGUAUCAGAACUUGCCCAGUAGCUGGGUAUUACUAGGCCAAAGCGUGACUAAUUCCGCAUACGGCCUACUUCGGAAACCGUGGGAUCAUGAGACCUGGCACGAUUGGGGCUCCCGAUGUCGGAUUAUCUAGUUGGUGAGGUAACGUCUCACCACGACGACGAUCCGUAGCUGGUUUGAGUGGACGACCUGCCACCAUGGGACUGAGACAAGGCCCAGAAUCCUACGGGAGGCAGCAGUGGGGAAUUUUGUACAAUGGGGGCAACACUGCUCCAGCAACCCCGCGUGUGGGAUGAAGGCCUUCGGGUUGUAAAGAACUUCUGGCAGGAAAGAAACGGCGCGGGCUAAUACGCCGUGGAACUGACGGUACCUGCAGAAUAAGCACCGGCUAACUACGUG